rnacentral:lncRNA from 1 species
UAUUAGGUCAUGGGUUCGAAUCCCGGCUCGGCCACUUGUCAGCUGGGUGACUGUGGGCCAGUCACUUCACUUCUCGGUGCCCGUUACCUCAUCUGUAAAAUCGAUUAGAUCGAUUACAUCGAUUAGACUGUAAGCCAGUGACCUCAUCUGUAAAAUGGGGAUGAAGACCGGGAGCCCCACGUGGGACACCCUGAUUCCCGUGUCUCCCCCAGCGCUUAGAACAGUGCUCGGCACAGACUAAGCGCUUAACAAAUACCAACAUUAUUAUUAUUAAGCCCGUCAAACGGCAGGGACCGUCUCUAUCUGUGGCCGACUUGUUCAUUCCAAGCGCUUAGUCCAGUGCUCUGCACGUAGUCAGCGCUCAAUAAAGACGAUUGAAAUACUAUGGAAUGAGUAAAAAUGGGGAUGAGGCCUGGGAGCCCCACGUGGGACAACCUGAUGGCCCUGUGUCUCCCCCAGCGCUUAGAACAGUGCUCGGCACAGAGGAAGCGCUUAACAAACACCAACAUGAUUAUUAUUUUUAUUUAUUAUUAUUAAGCGCUGAACAUUGGAGCGAGGGAGUGAAAGGCCGUGAUGGCGGCCCUGAGGCGAGGGGGACACCGGAAGUCCCGCCCUCCGGGCCGAAGAGGCUGCCGGGUAGCGGUUUAAUGCCCGGCCCCCUCAGCCCUGCCUCCUUUUCUCUUUGCGCCUUCGGGCCGCCGCACGGGUCGCGCUCCGCUCCGCCAUUUCCUCCCGCUCCGCCGUCCCGCCCGCUCCGCCAUCCCCACACAAGUGAGUACGAGGCGCCCACCGGGCCCGGACGCUCUGGGCCCCCGUCCGACCCCGCCCGACCCCAACCCGGGGAAGGAGGGCCACAAAAUGGCGGCCGACGGCAGGACUGGCCCCAGGCCCGCCUGGCGGAUGCGUUACGUCGCCGCCUACCUCCUGGCCGUCCUCGGGGGCAACGACUCCCCGGCCCUGAAGGACCUCAAGAAGAUCCUGGACAGCGUGGGCAUCGAGACGGACGACGAACGCCUGAAGAAGGUGAUCGGCGAGCUCAACGGGAAGAACAUCGAAGACGUCAUCGCUCAGGGCAACAGCAAGCUGGCCAGCCUGCCGUCCGGAGGAGCCGUGGCCGUCUCGGCCAGCGCCGGGGCCCCCGCUCCGGCCGCCGGGGGGUCUGCCCCGGCUGCCGCCGAGGAGAAGAAGAAGGAAGAGAAGAAGGAGGAGUCCGAAGAGUCGGACGACGACAUGGGCUUCGGCCUGUUCGACUAAGCGCCCGCCCCGACCGACGUAAAUAAACCCUUUUAUUUAGAGAGUGCCUCGGCUCCCGUGCGCGCGCCCGUCCCUCCCCGUGGGUCGGCCCGGAUGACGCCGUGGGGCCGAGCCCGGGGACCGGUUGCCCCCCCGGCCGGGCGCCUCGGCUUCGAGGCGAGUCGGCCGAUGACCCCGGUCACCGCAGAUCCCCGGGGGAGAUGGGCGUCAUCUUCCUUGCCCUCGGCGGUCGAGGACGCCAGCUGACUGGGGAAGGGGUCGGCCCGGACGGGACUCCCUGCCGCCGUCAAGGAGCGUACAGUGCCGUCUCUCUCUCUCACCCCCACCGCCGCCGAGGAGCACGGUCUGGGUAUUCGUUCGUUCGGUAGUAUUUGUUGAGCGCUUACUAUGUGCACAGCACUGGACUAAGCCCUUGGAAUGGUCAGUUCGGCAACAGAUAGACGCCGUCCCCGCCCCGGGACCCCCCCCCCCCCCCCCAAUCGGGGGGAGACAGAUGGCAGAGCAAAGCAGAACGGAACGGAAACAAGGCAACGUAAUCACGAUAACGAUAAAUGGAAGUACACAGCAAAGAACAGAGUCUGGUACAUGGUGCACACCAAGGAGCGAUCGGUCUGACCCCACACCCCGAACAAAAGGAGGCGUCCAUCAGCGUGCAGUUCCUUGGGCCUCAGUUUACUUCAUCUGUAAAAUGAGGAGAGGUAAUUCUUGAGGUCUCUGUUAAGCGCUUACUAUGGGCCAAGCACUACUUAGGAGAAGCAGCGUCGCCUAAUGGGGAGAAUACGGGCCUGGCGGGGAGCGGGACCUGGGUUCUAACUUGGCUCUGCCACCUAUCGUGAGACCAUGUGCAAGUCACUUCACUUAUGGACCACAGUUACCUCACCUGUACAUUCAGUAGUAUUUAUUGAGCGCCUACUAUGUGCAGAGAACUGUACUAAGCGCUUGGAACGGACAAUUCGGCAACAGAGAGAGAAUCCCUCUCUGAGGGAUUGAGAGGAUUAAGGCUGUGAGCUCUAUGUGGGACAGGGACCGUGUCCAAUCCGAUUUGCUCGUAUCUACCCCGCCGCUUAGUAAUGAUAAUGUUGGUAUUUGUUGAGCGCUUACUAUGUGCAGAGCACUGUUCUAAGCGCUUGGGGGGGGGGGAGACGGGGGAAUCAGGUCUUCCCCCGUGGGGCUCACAGUCUUCAUCCCCAUUUUCCAGAUGAGGUAACUGAGGCCCAGGGGCAGAGCUGGGACUCGAACUCAUGACCCCUGCCCGCCAAGCCCGUGCUCUUUUCACCGGCACAUAGUAAGCACUUAAAUACCACAAUUAGGUCAUCACUAGGACGGCUCAUCGGGUCCCACAUGGGGCUCUGGGUGCAAGUAGGAGGGAAACCCAUCGAAUCCCCAUUUUGCUGAGGAGGGAACGUGAGCCACUGAAACGAAAUCAGUCAGGAACUCGUUUAUCGAGCGCUUACCGUGUGCAGAGCACCGUACUAAGCUUUUGGGAGAGGACGAUAGAAAAACGGUCCCCGUCCACAGCGAGCCUCCAGUUUAGACGGAGGCAGACGUGAGCGUAAAACGAUGACAGAUGUAGACGUCAGCGCGGUGGGGGAGCGUGUCGGGAAGGAAGUGACAGAAAAGGGAAAAAGGACUUAAUCAGGGUGGGCCUCUUGGAGGAAUAGAAGCAAAUCCAGUCGAAGUCCCCGUCCCCCCCGUGGGGCUCGCCGUCUCAAUCCCCGUUUCCCACGUCACCGGAGCCCUGAGAAGUGAAGGUACUUCCUCAAGGCCACACGACAGACAAGUUGAGAAGCGGCGCGGCUCAGCGGAAAGAGCCCGGGCCGGGGAGUCGGAGGUCGUGGGUUCUGAUCCCGGCUCUGCUGCUUGUCAGCUGUGUAACCGAUAAAGUCACUUCUCUGCGCCUGUUCCCGCAUCUGGAAAAUGGGGACGAAGACGGUGAGCCCCCCGGGGGACAACCUGGUAACCUUGCGUCUACCCCAGGCGCGUAUAACAAAUGCCAACGUUGUUAUUGCGAGCGGCAGAGGCGGGAUUAGAACCCGUGGCCACCCGACUCCUAGGCUUGCGUUCCCUCCACCGCGCCACGCUGCUUCACUGUGGGAUAGGUGGACACCCCCACCAACCUUGCCGUCUCCCCCGCCCGGACCCGGUACUUCGGGCUGAGGGAAUGCUUCGGCCCCCGCCCUUCGGGGCCGACCCCGGCUCGGCCGUUCCGGUCGGACGGGGGCUCCAGCUGGGCCAAUGUUGGAGAAAGGUCACCGAGAAAGCCACCUCCCGCUCCGCUCGGGCCCCCCCCCCUCCCCGUUCUCCUUCCAACCCUGCGGCCCAGGGGACCGGAGCUCCCUCGGCCCCAAAACGAGUCAGGAGAUGUGACGGGGAGUUCAUCUGGCCCAGUGGGCCCGGGGUCACCCCCCCCCCCCCCCACCUGGUGCCAGUCGAUCGCUCGGGAGAGGACAGUCUAAGAAGUGAUAAAUGAAGUCGGUAUUCGUUAAGCGCUCGCUAUAUGCAGAGCACCGUUCUGAGCACCGGGGGAGAUACGGGGUCCUCAGGUUGUCCCACGGGAGGCUCCCAGUCUUCAUCCCUGUUUGAAAGAUGAGGUCACUGAGGCCCGGAGAAGCGAAGCGACUUGCCCACAGUCACCCGGCGGGGAUUCGAACCCACGACCUCCGACUCCCAAGCCCGCGCUCUUUCCAGUGAGCCGCGCCGCUUCCCGACAAACAUGCCCGCAACAGGCUUACAGUCUAGAGCGGGAGACGGACAUUAAUAGAAAUGAAUGAAUUAUAGAGACGUAUAGCCGAGGCCGGGGGGGGGAGGGAUGAUGAUAACGUUGGUAUUCGUUAAGCGCUUCCUAUGUGCCGAGCGCCGUUGUAAGCGCUGGGGGAGAUAGGGGGUCGUCGGGUCGUCCCACGUGAGGCUCACGGUCUUCAUCCCCAUUUUACAGAUGAGGGAACUGAGGCCCAGAGAAGUGAAGUGACGAAUAAAGGGAGCAAGCCAGGGAGAGGAGGAAAGGAGGGCUUAGUCGGGGAGGGCUUCUUGGAGGAGGUGGGCCUUCAGUAAGGCUUUGAAGCGAGAGGGGAAGAGUUAGUGUCUUUUUUCGGGUGCGUUUGGAGGGCUGUGGAGACAAACCACCCCACCCCAGUACUGCUCCUAGACCCUGAGCUCGCUGGGGGGCAGGGAUCGUGUCGUAACGGAGAAGCGGCACGGUGCGGUGGAAAGAGCGCUGGCCUGCGAGUCGGAAGGUCAUGGGUUCUAAUCCCAGUUCCACCAUUUGUUGCGUGACCUCGGGCAAUUGGCUUCUCCGGGCCUCGGUGACCUCAUCCGUAUAAAGGUUUAUCGAGGCUGAGACGGCAUCCGAUUCAUUCAUUCGUUCACUCCAUGGUAUCUAUUGAGCGCUUACUCUGUGCAGAGCACUGGACUAAGCGCUGGGAACGGACAGAUGGGUAACAGAUAGAGACGGUCCCUGCCCUCUGACGGGCUCACGGUCUCAUCGGGGGAGACGGACAAGAAGAAUGGCAAUAAACUCGAUUUGCUUGUAUCCACCCCGGCGCUCGGUACGGUCCCCGGCACAUCGCGCUGAACAGAUGCCGUAAUUAUUACUGUUUUAUAGCCCCCCAAGCGCUUAGUACAGCGCUCCGCACACAGUGAGCGCGCAAUAAAGACGAUCGAGUGAACGAACGGUUCCAGCGGCCGCCGGGAGCCUCGUUGCCGGAGUCGGCGGGGCCGGUCCGCCCCGCCCCCGGCCCCUCUGUUUACCGGACCCUUGACCUCUCGGAAGCCGGGCCCGGGUGAGAACUUCCCCCGGGGACCCCCGUCCCUCCGCCCACCCCCUCCCUCUGCCCUUAAACUUUGCCUCGAAAACAGACUUUCAGUUUUCGAGCCCGG